CGAUGGGGUCAUGGCGCCCCGAACCCUCCUCCUGCUGCUCUCGGGGACCCUGGCCCUGGCCGAGACCUGGGCGGACCCCCCCCAAGACACACGUGACCCACCCCCCUCUCUGAACAUGAGGCAUAACGAGGUCCUGGGUUCUGGGCUUCUACCCUGCGGAGAUCACAUUGACCUGGCAGCGGGAUGGGGAGGACCAGACCCAGGACAUGGAGCUCGUGGAGACCAGGCCCACAGGGGAUGGAACCUUCCAGAAGUGGGCGGUUGUGGUAGUGCCUUCUGGAGAGGAACAGAGAUACACAUGCCAUGUGCAGCACAAGGGGCUGCCCAAGCCCCUCAUCCUGAGAUGGGUCACACAUUUCUGGAAACUUCUCAAGGUUCCAAGACUAGGAGGUUCCUCUAGGACCUCAUGGCCCUGCUACCUUCCUGGCCUCUCACAGGACGUUUUCUUCCCGCAGAUAGAAAAGGAGGGAGCUACUCUCAGGCUGCAAGCAGCCAAAGUGCCCAGGGCUCUGAUGUGUCUCUCACGGCUUGUAAAGUGUGAGACAGCUGCCUUGUGUGGGACUGAGAGGCAAGAUUUGUUCAUGCCUUCCCUUUGUGACUUCAAGAACCCUGACUUCUCUUUCUGCAAAGGCAUCUGAAUGUGUCUGUGUCCCUAUAGGCAUAAUGUGAGGUGGUGGGGAGACCAGCCCACACCCGUGUCCACCAUGACCCUGUUCCCCACACUGACCUACAUUCCUUCCCCGAUCACCUUUCCUGUUCCAGAGAAGUGGUGCUGGGAUGUCUCCAUCUCUGUCUCAACUUCAUGGUGCACUGAGCUGUAACUUCUUACUUCCCUAUUAAAAUUAGAAUCUGAGUAUAAAUUUACUUUUUUCAAAUUAUUUCCAUGACGGGUUGAUGGGUUAAUUAAAGGAGAAGAUUCCUAAAAUUUGAGAGACAAAAUAAAUGGAAGACAUGAGAA
rnacentral:lncRNA from 1 species